AUUGAACGCUGGCGGCAUGCCUUACACAUGCAAGUCGAACGGCAGCGGGGGAGAAGCUUGCUUUUCCUGCCGGCGAGUGGCGAACGGGUGAGUAAUACAUCGGAACGUGCCCUGUAGUGGGGGAUAACUAGUCGAAAGAUUAGCUAAUACCGCAUACGACCUGAGGGUGAAAGUGGGGGACCGCAAGGCCUCAUGCUAUAGGAGCGGCCGAUGUCUGAUUAGCUAGUUGGUGGGGUAAAGGCCUACCAAGGCGACGAUCAGUAGCUGGUCUGAGAGGACCAUCAGCCGCACUGGGACUGAGACACGGCCCAGACUCCUACGGGAGGCAGCAGUGGGGAAUUUUGGACAAUGGGCGAAAGCCUGAUCCAGCAAUGCCGCGUGUGUGAAGAAGGCCUUCGGGUUGUAAAGCACUUUUGUCCGGAAAGAAAUGGCUCUGGUUAAUACCUGGGGUCGAUGACGGUACCGGAAGAAUAAGGACCGGCUAACUACGUGCCAGCCGCCGCCGUAACAC
rnacentral:rRNA from 1 species